GAUGAACGCUGGCGGCGUGCCUAAUACAUGCAAGUCGAGCGAACAGACGAGGAGCUUGCUCCUCUGACGUUAGCGGCGGACGGGUGAGUAACACGUGGAUAACCUACCUAUAAGACUGGGAUAACUUCGGGAAACCGGAGCUAAUACCGGAUAAUAUAUUGAACCGCAUGGUUCAAUAGUGAAAGACGGUUUUGCUGUCACUUAUAGAUGGAUCCGCGCCGCAUUAGCUAGUUGGUAAGGUAACGGCUUACCAAGGCAACGAUGCGUAGCCGACCUGAGAGGGUGAUCGGCCACACUGGAACUGAGACACGGUCCAGACUCCUACGGGAGGCAGCAGUAGGGAAUCUUCCGCAAUGGGCGAAAGCCUGACGGAGCAACGCCGCGUGAGUGAUGAAGGUCUUCGGAUCGUAAAACUCUGUUAUUAGGGAAGAACAAAUGUGUAAGUAACUAUGCACGUCUUGACGAUACCUAAUCAGAAAGCCACGGCUAACUUCGUG
rnacentral:rRNA from 1 species